AUUGAACGCUGGCGGCAUGCUUUACACAUGCAAGUCGAACGGUAACAGGGAGCUUGCUCCGCUGACGAGUGGCGAACGGGUGAGUAAUAUAUCGGAACGUACCCAGAAGUGGGGGAUAACGUAGCGAAAGUUACGCUAAUACCGCAUACGAUCCACGGAUGAAAGUAGGGGACCUUAGGGCCUUAUGCUUUUGGAGCGGCCGAUAUCUGAUUAGCUAGUUGGUAGGGUAAAGGCCUACCAAGGCGACGAUCAGUAGCUGGUCUGAGAGGACGACCAGCCACACUGGAACUGAGACACGGUCCAGACUCCUACGGGAGGCAGCAGUGGGGAAUUUUGGACAAUGGGCGCAAGCCUGAUCCAGCAAUGCCGCGCGAGUGAAGAAGGCCUUCGGGUUGUAAAGCUCUUUUGUCAGGGAAGAAACGGUAGAGGCUAAUAUCCUUUGCUAAUGACGGUACCUGAAGAAUAAGCACCGGCUAACUACGUGCCAGCAGCCGCGGUAACAC
rnacentral:rRNA from 1 species